rnacentral:rRNA from 1 species
GCCCAGACUCCUACGGGAGGCAGCAGUGGGGAAUAUUGCACAAUGGGGGAAACCCUGAUGCAGCGACGCCGCGUGAGUGAAGAAGUAUUUCGGUAUGUAAAGCUCUAUCAGCAGGGAAGAAAAUGACGGUACCUGACUAAGAAGCCCCGGCUAACUACGUGCCAGCAGCCGCGGUAAUACGUAGGGGGCAAGCGUUAUCCGGAUUUACUGGGUGUAAAGGGAGCGUAGACGGCGGAACAAGUCAGAAGUGAAAACCCGGGGCUCAACCCUGGGAGUGCUUUUGAAACUGUUUGGCUGGAGUGCAGGAGAGGUAAGCGGAAUUCCUAGUGUAGCGGUGAAAUGCGUAGAUAUUAGGAGGAACACCAGUGGCGAAGGCGGCUUACUGGACUGUAACUGACGUUGAGGCUCGAAAGCGUGGGGAGCAAACAGGAUUAGAUACCCGCGUA